GGGAGCUUGCUCCCUGAUGUUAGCGGCGGACGGGUGAGUAACACGUGGGUAACCUGCCUGUAAGACUGGGAUAACUCCGGGAAACCGGGGCUAAUACCGGAUGGUUGUUUGAACCGCAUGGUUCAAACAUAAAAGGUGGCUUCGGCUACCACUUACAGAUGGACCCGCGGCGCAUUAGCUAGUUGGUGAGGUAACGGCUCACCAAGGCGACGAUGCGUAGCCGACCUGAGAGGGUGAUCGGCCACACUGGGACUGAGACACGGCCCAGACUCCUACGGGAGGCAGCAGUAGGGAAUCUUCCGCAAUGGACGAAAGUCUGACGGAGCAACGCCGCGUGAGUGAUGAAGGUUUUCGGAUCGUAAAGCUCUGUUGUUAGGGAAGAACAAGUACCGUUCGAAUAGGGCGGUACCUUGACGGUACCUAACCAGAAAGCCACGGCUAACUACGUGCCAGCAGCCGCGGUAAUACGUAGGUGGCAAGCGUUGUCCGGAAUUAUUGGGCGUAAAGGGCUCGCAGGCGGUUUCUUAAGUCUGAUGUGAAAGCCCCCGGCUCAACCGGGGAGGGUCAUUGGAAACUGGGGAACUUGAGUGCAGAAGAGGAGAGUGGAAUUCCACGUGUAGCGGUGAAAUGCGUAGAGAUGUGGAGGAACACCAGUGGCGAAGGCGACUCUCUGGUCUGUAACUGACGCUGAGGAGCGAAAGCGUGGGGAGC
rnacentral:rRNA from 1 species